rnacentral:rRNA from 1 species
GCGCGGUAAUACGGAGGGAGCUAGCGUUGUUCGGAAUUACUGGGCGUAAAGCGUGCGUAGGCGGUUACUCAAGUCAGAGGUGAAAGCCCGGGGCUCGACCCCGGAACUGCCUUUGAAACUAGGUAACUAGAAUCUUGGAGAGGUCAGUGGAAUUCCGAGUGUAGAGGUGAAAUUCGUAGAUAUUCGGAAGAACACCAGUGGCGAAGGCGACUGACUGGACAAGCAUUGACGCUGAGGCACGAAAGCGUGG